AAGCCAUUAUGCGGGAAAUCUCUUUACCAGCCUUUUAAACCUCGCCCAGGCAUCAUUGAGCAAUUCGUCAAUAUCCUGUUCAAAAUUGGUAAUCAGCUUCCUUAUUCU